CAGUAGCCGCGGUAAUACGAAGGGUGCAAGCGUUACUCGGAAUUACUGGGCGUAAAGCGUGCGUAGGUGGUGGUUUAAGUCCGUUGUGAAAGCCCUGGGCUCAACCUGGGAAUUGCAGUGGAUACUGGGUCACUAGAGUGUGGUAGAGGAUAGUGGAAUUUCCGGUGUAGCAGUGAAAUGCGUAGAGAUCGGAAGGAACAUCUGUGGCGAAGGCGACUAUCUGGGCCAACACCGACACUGAGGCACGAAAGCGUGGGGAGCAAACAGGAUUAGAUACCCCCGUAGUCCCUGUCUCUUAUAA
rnacentral:rRNA from 1 species